ensembl:snRNA U6 U6 spliceosomal RNA
GUGCUCUCUUCGGCAGCACAUACACUAACGCUGAAACAAUAUGGACAUUAGCACGGCCCAAGGAGGACACACAAAGUCUUGAAGCGUCCCAUAUAAAA